rnacentral:rRNA from 1 species
GUAGAGCACUGUUUCGGCUAGGGGGUCAUCCCGACUUACCAAACCGAUGCAAACUCCGAAUACCUAUGAGUACUAUCCGGGAGACAGACUGCGGGUGCUAACGUCCGUAGUCAAGAGGAAAACAAUCCAGACCGCCAGCUAAGGCCCCAAAAUCAUAGUUAAGUGGGAAACGAUGUGGGAAGGCAUAGACAGCUAGGAGGUUGGCUUAGAAGCAGCCACCCUUUAAAGAAAGCGUAAUAGCUCACUAGUCGAGUCGGCCUGCGCGGAAGAUGUAACGGGGCUAAAACUAUGUGCCGAAGCUGCGGAUGUAUACUUUGUAUACGUGGUAGGGGAGCGUUCUGUAAGCCGAUGAAGGUGUGUUGAGAAGCAUGCUGGAGGUAUCAGAAGUGCGAAUGCUGACGUGAGUAACGACAAAACGGGUGAAAAACCCGUUCGCCGAAAGACCAAGGGUUCCAGUCCAACGUUAAUCGGGGCUGGGUGAGUCGACCCCUAAGGCGAGGCCGAAAGGCGUAGUCGAUGGGAAAAUGGUUAAUAUUCCAUUACUUCUGUGUAAUGCGAUGAGAGGACGGAGAAGGCUAAAUCAGCCUGGCGUUGGUUGUCCAGGUGAAAGGAUGUAGGCAUGUAUCUUAGGCAAAUCCGGGGUACUCUAUGCUGAGAUCUGAUAGCAAGCUGUACUUGUACAGCGAAGUGGUUGAUGCCAUGCUUCCAGGAAAAGUCUCUAAGCUUCAGUUACACAGGAAUCGUACCCGAAACCGACACAGGUGGUCAGGUCGAGUAGACCAAGGCGCUUGAGAGAACUCUGCUGAAGGAACUAGGCAAAAUGGUACCGUAACUUCGGGAGAAGGUACGCUGUUGUUGGUGAUGGAACUCGCUUCCUGAGCUGACGACAGCCGCAGAAACCAGGCCGCUGCAACUGUUUAUUAAAAACAUAGCACUCUGCAAACACGAAAGUGGACGUAUAGGGUGUGAUGCCUGCCCGGUGCUGGAAGGUUAAUUGAUGGGGUUAGCGUAAGCGAAGCUCUUGAUCGAAGCCCCAGUAAACGGCGGCCGUAACUAUAACGGUCCUAAGGUAGCGAAAUUCCUUGUCGGGUAAGUUCCGACCUGCACGAAUGGCAUAAUGAUGGCGGCGCUGUCUCCAGCAGAGGCUCAGUGAAAUCGAAAUCGCUGUGAAGAUGCAGUGUACCCGCGGCUAGACGGAAAGACCCCGUGAACCUUUACUGCAGCUUGACACUGAACUUU